AACGAACGCUGGCGGCAGGCUUAACACACGCAAGUCGAACGCAUCCUUCGGGGUGAGUGGCAGACGGGCGAGUAACGCGUGGGAACGUGCCCUUCAGUUCGGGAUAACCCAGGGAAACUUGGGCUAAUACCGGAUACGUGCGAGAGUAGAAAGAUUUAUCGCCAAAGGAGCAGCCCGCGUCUGAUUAGCUAGUUGGUGGGGUAACGGCCUACCAAGGCGACGAUCAGUAGCUGGUCUGAGAGGAUGAUCAGCCACACUGGGACUGAGACACGGCCCAGACUCCUACGGGAGGCAGCAGUGGGGAAUAUUGGACAAUGGGCGGAAGCCUGAUCCAGCAAUGCCGCGUGAGUGAUGAAGGCCUUAGGGUUGUAAAGCUCUUUUACCCGGGAUGAUAAUGACAGUACCGGGAGAAUAAGCUCCGGCUAACUUCGUGCCAGCAGCCGCCGUAA
rnacentral:rRNA from 1 species